GCGGUACGAGCGGAGGCCAGGUCAGCCGCCCUGACGGCCCGGAUCGGUUUGAUUCCCAAGCUGACAGCGCGGGUUCGAUUCCCGUCACCCGCUCCA
rnacentral:tRNA from 1 species